rnacentral:lncRNA from 1 species
ACAGGCAAGACUUUGGAAAGUAUUGCGUCAGUUGCGCAGAAGAGAACAAUGUUUCGAAAAGGAAUGCACUGGCCGUGGAAGCAAACGAAAAUGUUGCCUAAUCAAGACUUGCUUAUCAUUGAAGGAACUUCACAAGAUCAAACAAUUCCGCGGAAUGUUUUGAACAACACAUAAACAGCACAAAAAAAUCUUUGUAUACUCAUAACAAAAAAGUAACUUUCGUAAUAACCCAGGACUAUUGCACAGUACUAUAGUAGUAUCAGUGAGCUCUAGGCAGUCGUUCGGCCUAUGAGAAAAGUUAAGCCAAUAUGGCGGCCAUUGACGUCCAAUAGCUCUGAAGGUCGUAAACAGUUUUUAUACCAUUUCCCAGCUAAUUCCAUUUUUUCUAACGAACUGUAUCGUUAAACAAGUUAUCAGUUCAUAAAACCAUGGUGGUAUUCUUUAAAUCGACGUCAAAAUACGAACUUUCGGCAAACGUCUUGCCAGCUUCGUGUUAACCGCGCAAACAAAACCUCUAGAAAUGAACUGGUACCGACGUUCAAUCAGUUCACUGCGUUCAAUAGCUCUUCAAUUUCCGCCAUCUUGGCUUCACUUUUUGGACUCGAGUUCUCACUCCAGUAAUAUAUCGAGCUCACUGAGUACUAUUUGCACAUUAUAACAGCAAUUGCACAGUCUUUCAAUAGAUAAAUAUGUAUUCGUAUAACAAGUAUUCUUACAUAGGCGUACGAGAUAGGGGGGCUGAAAGGGGGGACUGCAGUCUGCAGCCCCCCUGCAUGUGUGCUUAUAGUCGAGUAGAUUGUACUUAAAAAUCGGGCAAUGUGCUAGGCCUGCCUGCCUCUUUAUAAUGUAUUUUGUCGUGAUAUUAAUGUUGAGAUAUUAAUAUUAAUGUUUAGUCAGAGAAUUAUUAGUGAGACUAAAUUGAAAUUAUUUUAAUUAUUUUUUAC